UUCUCCGGUGACAGCGAGGCCCACAGUGGACGUGAGGUACGAUGGCAUGAACCACUGGCCACAGUACGGCGAAAAAAAGAACCGAUGCAAGUUCUGCAAGUUCGGCUACACGUUUCUGUACUGCGCUAAGUGCAACAUGCACUUGUGCCUCCUUCCAAGCUGCAACUGCUUCAAGGCAUUCCACGUGAAGUAGUGCCUCAAGUGCCCAAUGUUGCUCAGGAGCAACACCUCAUUACUCACCUAUAAAUAAACAUAAUUUUUUUCUGACAA